rnacentral:rRNA from 1 species
CCUACGGGUGGCAGCAGUAGGGAAUAUUGCUCAAUGGGGGAAACCCUGAAGCAGCAACGCCGCGUGGCUGAUGAAGGUUUUCGGAUUGUAAACUCCUUUUGUUAGAGAAGAUAAUGACGGUAUCUCACGAAUACGCACUGGCUAACUCCGUGCCCGCAGCCGGGGUAAUACGGAGGGUGCAAGCGUUACUCGGACUAACUGGGCGUAAAGCGCGCGUAGGCGGGUUAGCAAGUCAGAUGUGAAAUCCUAUGGCUUAACCAUAGAACUGCAUUUGAAACUGUUAUGCGAGAGGAUGGGAGAGGUAGGUGGAAUUCUUGGUGUAGGGGUAAAAUCCGUAGAUAUCAAGAGGAAUACUCAUUGCGAAGGCGACCUGCUAGAACAUAACUGACGCUGAUGCGCGAAAGCGUGGGGAGCAAACAGGAUUAGAUACCCUUGUAGUC